rnacentral:tRNA from 1 species
UCCGGGGUAGCUCAGCGGCAGAGCGCUCGGCUUCUACCGAGAGGGCGCUGGUUCGAAUCCAGCCCCCGGACCCA